CCUACGGGUGGCAUCAGUGGGGAAUAUUGCACAAUGGGGGAAACCCUGAUGCAGCGACGCCGCGUGAGUGAAGAAGUAUUUCGGUAUGUAAAGCUCUAUCAGCAGGGAAGAAAACCACCCUCCGGGGUGGCUGACGGUACCUGAUUAAGAAGCCCCGGCUAACUACGGGCCAGCAGCCGCAGGGAUACGUAGGGGGCAAGCGUUAUCCGGAUUUACUUGGUGGAAAGGGAGAGUAGGUGGCAAGGCAAGUCAGAUGUGAAAACCCGGGGCCCAACCCCGGGAGUGCAUUUGAAACUGGCUGGCUAGAGUGCAGGAGAGGUAAGUGGAAGUCGUAGUGUAGCGGUGAAAUGCAGAGAUAGUAGGAGGAACACCAGUUGCGAAGGCGGCUUACUGGACUGUAACUGACACUGAGGCUCGAAAGCGUGGGGAGCAAACAGGAUUAGAUACCCCAGUAGUC
rnacentral:rRNA from 1 species